CGACUUUCUUUGUUUAAAAAAGAAUGAUAGUAAUGUGAUUUGUAAGUCUCCCUUUCAGAGUGGGUGUCCACUUGCUUUUGAGAGCCACCUCGCCCACGGCUUUUCUGGCAUCAGAGGCCUGGCUGCACGCUGCACAUAAUGGUUCUUGCACGGCACCAAGAGGCUGCAGAGCUGUGAAAACUCACCUUCAGUGUAGACUCCUCACCCUGCCCCCCGCCGUUGUUCUGAUCACUCUAGUUUAUGGCAUGUGUGGGAAGUAGGAGAGUGGGAAGGCAUCAUAUUUCAGUAUUAUUGGUCUUGUUCCUUUUGUGUUCUAUCCAUUUCACAUUCUGUAUCCCAGUGUAUCUCUUAGAGGAAUAAAGGACUUUUGUUGAAGCUCUGA